GAGCAUAUCAUGUUUAAACACCUAUUCUCGUACGAUCACUGAAGUUAAGCAACGUCAAGUUUGGUCAGUAGCUAGAUGGGUGACCGCUUAGGAAUACCAGGUGUUGUAA